UAGAGCCCCUGGUGGGCAUCCGGUACCGCCUGCUGCCGAGGGCCCUAGAGGGGUUAGGGGAGGGGGCUGGUGGGUCCCCGUCCCCAGAUGCGCCCCAGGAUGGCGCAACCUCGGCUCCCGGGUGGAAAGUAGGGGGAGUGCUGGCUUGGGGGUCGCUUCGCCUCCUGCUCUAGUUUCUGAGGAUGUGAUGACCCCAAAGGUCAUUGGCGCUCCCAGAAUGCUGACGUCAGCUCAGCCGCUCGGAGUAAUCAGUAAUGCAGGGAGGCUACCCGCAGAGUGAACGCGACAGGGGUCGCUUUGGGGACACCAUAGGGCUUUUACUCGUGUUGAGGGUGCAUAAACCUGAUGCGGGUUUGAUGAGAACUGGUUUUAAAGGAAAAUGGGGCCAUCAGAAGGAAGCUGGCUGGAGUGAAGAGACAUCUGGGAAGAGCCCCUGGCGGGGGCCCUCAUUCCACUGGGUGACCCAGAAGGAGAAAACCGCCAUGGCGCUUCUCAUUCGAAAUGUUUUCUUUACGGACAGUGUUUAGCAAUUGUUAUAAUGUGUACUUUUGUUGAUUGAUCUGUGUAAAUAUGUAAAAUAAUUUGUUCUCUGAGUUAAUUUUGUUGGAACAAAGACUUUAGUGCUUCCUAAAUUAAAACAUUUUACUGUA